AACCCUCAAACUUAUGGAUAAGGAAAAUAAUGAUUGCGGCGGUGCCUGAAUCCUGCUGCUAAUAUGAGAUGAAUUUUUGAGUGGGUAAAGGAUGUCCCCAAAGCAACCCACCUACAAAUAUAUAAAUAUGAGAAGAGGGCUGGGGGCGUGGCUCAGUGGUAGAACUCCUGCCUA
rnacentral:snRNA from 1 species